rnacentral:rRNA from 1 species
AUGGCGGCAGCGGCGAGGACGCGGGCCUCGACCUCAUCAGCGAGCUCCCCGUCGAGCUCCGCGGCGUCAUCCUCUCCCGCCUCCCCAGCACCAAGGGCGCCGCGCGGACAGCCAUUCUCUCCUCCCAGUGGCGCGACACCUGGCGGUCCACCCCGCUCGACCUCGCCGGGCAAGAGCGCAACCGCAUCACCGCCGUCUCCGAGAUCCUCGCCGCGCACCGCGGCCCCGUCCGCCGCCUCACCCUCGAAACCAUCCGCCUCGGCCGCGACCGCUACGCCAAAUUCGACGGCUGGUUCCGGUCCCCCGUCCUCGAUGGCCUCGAGGAGCUCCAGUUCUACGGCAACGGCAAUCUGCCGCGCCUGCUGCCGCUGCGCCCGCUGCCCCUGCCGCCAUCCGCGCUCCGCUUCGCUCCCAGGCUGCGCGCCGCCAGCAUCGGCGGCUGCGAUCUGCCCCAGAUUAAUGCCGCCUUCCCUGUGCUGA